rnacentral:rRNA from 1 species
GAUGAACGCUGGCGGCGUGCCUAAUACAUGCAAGUCGAGCGAACGGACGAGAAGCUUGCUUCUCUGAUGUUAGCGGCGGACGGGUGAGUAACACGUGGAUAACCUACCUAUAAGACUGGGAUAACUUCGGGAAACCGGAGCUAAUACCGGAUAAUAUUUUGAACCGCAUGGUUCAAAAGUGAAAGACGGUCUUGCUGUCACUUAUAGAUGGAUCCGCGCUGCAUUAGCUAGUUGGUAAGGUAACGGCUUACCAAGGCAACGAUGCAUAGCCGACCUGAGAGGGUGAUCGGCCACACUGGAACUGGGACACGGUCCAGACUCCUACGGGAGGCAGCAGGAGGGAAUCUUCCGCAAUGGGCGAAAGCCUGACGGAGCAACGCCGCGUGAGUGAUGAAGGUCUUCGGAUCGUAAAACUCUGUUAUUAGGGAAGAACAUAUGUGUAAGUAACUGUGCACAUCUUGACGGUACCAAAGCAGAAAGCCACGGCUAACUACGU